AUUAUUUUAAUUUGAAAUUUUUGCAGAUCUACUUGAAGUUUGAACAGUCUUCUGGAGAUCCAGCCCGUGUUCAACUUCUCUAUGAACGUGCUAUUACCUAGUUUCCUGUAUCAAGUGAUCUCUAGCUUGGUUAUACUCGCUAUUUGGAUAAAACCUUGAAGGUAGGAAAUAUUGUGCGGGAUGUUCAUUCCAGGGCUAGUAAAAAUUGUCCUUGGGUUGGUGAUCUUUGGGUUCGAUCUUUGCUUGCUUUGGAACGUUGGCGUGCACCUGAGAAAGAGAUAUCUACUGUCUUUGAGAAGUCCCUUCUAUGCACUUUUUCGACCAUUGAGGAGUACCUAAACUCAUUCCUCACUCAAGUGGAUGGUUUGAGACGAA